UACGGGGGGAGCAAGCGUUGUUCGGAUUUACUGGGCGUAAAGGGCGCGUAGGCGGUCAGCACAAGUCAGUUGUGAAAUCUCCGGGCUUAACUCGGAAAGGUCAACUGAUACUGUGCGACUAGAGUGCGGAAGGGGCAACUGGGAUUCCUGGUGUAGCGGUGAAAUGCGCAGAUAUCAGGAGGAACACCGAUUGCGAAGGCAGCUCGCUGGGACGUGACUGACGCUGAGACGCGAAAGCGUGGGGAGCAAACAGG
rnacentral:rRNA from 1 species